rnacentral:rRNA from 1 species
GGGGUGCUCGAGUGGCGAACGGGUGAGUAACACGUGAGUAACCUGCCCUUGACUUUUGGGAUAACUUCAGGAAACUGGGGCUAAUACCGGAUAGGAGCUCCUGCUGCAUGGUGGGGGUUGGAAAGUUUCGGCGGUUGGGGAUGGACUCGCGGCUUAUCAGCUUGUUGGUGGGGUAGUGGCUUACCAAGGCUUUGACGGGUAGCCGGCCUGAGAGGGUGACCGGCCACAUUGGGACUGAGAUACGGCCCAG